rnacentral:rRNA from 1 species
ACGAUCUUCGGAUUGGUGGCGACCGGCGCACGGGUGCGAACGCGUAUAGAACCUACCUUUUACAGAGGGAUAGCCCAGAGAAAUUUGGAUUAAUACCUCAUAGUAUUAUAGAUUGGCAUCGAUUUAUAAUUAAACAUUUAUGGGUAAGAGAUGGCUAUGCGUCCUAUUAGUUAGUUGGUAAGGUAACGGCUUACCAAGACAGCGAUAGGUAGGGGUCCUGAGAGGGAGACCCCCCACACUGGUACUGAGACACGGUCCAGACUCC